UACCGGCACCCCGAGUGGUCGGGACGAUUAUUGGGCCUAAAGCAUCCGUAGCCGGCCUUACAAGUCCUCCGUUAAAUCCAGCUGCUUAACAGAUGGGCUGCGGAGGAUACUAUAAGACUAGGAGGCAGGAGAGGCAAGCGGUACUCAGUGGGUAGGGGUAAAAUCCGUUGAUCCAUUGAAGACCACCAGUGGCGAAGGCGGCUUGCCAGAAUGCGCUCGACGGUGAGGGAUGAAAGCUGGGGGAGCAAACCGG
rnacentral:rRNA from 1 species